UUCCGCAUUCGAGUAGCCAUAUUAAAACUUCGAGUGGUUUGAGCGUCUUAAAAAUCUGCCUUUGCCACAACAAAAUAUUUGAGGUUCGUGUUUGUUUUGGGUUUUUUACUUGCUUGAAAAAAACUAUGUCGUCGAUUUAAAUGAAAUUUGUGACAUCUGCCGUAUAUGGCAACGUCUACUGCAGGGCACCUUUCCUAAAAUGGACUGACAGUAUUCAGAUAUUUCAUCCAGGCAUUAAAAUACGGAAUUUUUACAAGGACACACUUUGCCUUCAGAGGCGUAUUGUUGGCAUAAUGCGUAGACACGAGAACGAGUGGCGAAGCCACAAGUUUAGCGUCGAAGACGCAAGCUUUUAAGGGGG